rnacentral:rRNA from 1 species
UACGUAGGGGGCAAGCGUUGUCCGGAUUAUUGGGCGUAAAGAGCGUGUAGGCGGCCAGGUAGGUCUGCUGUGAAAACUCGAGGCUUAACCUCGAGAUGUCGGCGGAAACCAUCUGGCUAGAGUCCGGAAGAGGAGAAUGGAAUUCCCGGUGUAGCGGUGAAAUGCGCAGAUAUCGGGAAGAACACCCGUGGCGAAGGCGGUUCUCUGGGACGGUACUGACGCUGAGACGCGAAAGCGUGGGGAGCGAACGGG